rnacentral:antisense_RNA from 1 species
CAGAAUCAUUUUCUCUGUUAUUUUUUUUUAUGGAAAUCCUUUGAAUCCAAUAUACAUUUUAUUUACUCCGAUCAGUAUUAUCAGUUCAUUUAUUUUUAAUAACUACCAACCAAUUUCCAACUGCUGAUCUCUAAUAUUAUCCUAAGUUAAUAAAAAUAUAAAACUUGAAAUUCAAGUGUUGAAAAUCCUCCAACUAAAGAUGAAGUAAUAUAGCUAUUUAUGUGGAUAAAGGAGAGAAAAGUUGUAAUAAAGGUAUACCACCAUCGCCGCCACGAUACAACCCAGGAGUAAUGAAUAAUCCCCUCGUUAACUUAAAAAAAAGUCCCAACUUAUUACUUCUUCGAAGUUUUCUCGGACUUAUUGAAAGGAUUAAUUUCUCGAUAGUAUCCGAGUUUGGCUCUAGCAGCAUUCUUUCUGAAGAGAUUCUUGAUUCCGAACUUUUUCCCUUUAAUGUAUAAUGGACUGGAAGGAAGAGGGAAGGGAUGUCUCGGAUGGAUUUUCCUGACAGCCUUAACAAGUUUGUAAUAGUCGCGCUUAAUAUACCCGAGCUCAUAAUUAAAGUUAUGUCCAGAAGUUUUAAUACAUUUGUUAAGAUCUUGAAGAACUUUGAUAACUUCCUUAGAAUUGAAUUCAAUCUCUUCAAGAAUUGCAAGAAUACGAAGGAUUUCAGAUCUGAUUGGCUUGACAUUGCCUGCUUUAACUGCAUCGUUAAUAUUGGUAAAUAUUGGAACAACAUUAUUAGUAAAGAAUUUUCUUUCGUUAAAAUGUAUAUUAAAAAGUGAUUGUCUUGGGAUUCCAUUAAAUUCUUCUUCAACAACACUGGGAUUGGCAACCAUUUCAUCUUGUAUAGAUUUGAGGAUUUUGGUCAUUUCGCGAACAGCAUCAUAUAUUGGUCCCACAGCCAAUAAAGAAUUAUAGUAAUUUUGUGAACAUAAUCUCUUGGAUUUUGGUCCUUUAUACCAAUCAUCAUAAAAUUCCAUGAUAUUUGAAAUAUUCUUUUUGACUCUUCUGCUUUGUUCACCAUUUCCAAGCUGAAGUCUAAUUCCUUUCAUACCAUAAUACAAAUCUACUCUAACAUCAUCGAUAAACUGGAAUCCUGGGUAGUGAAUGGUAUUAAUAAUAUCGUAGAGCUUUUUGUAAAGGAAAUCAAAAUGAGCAAAACCAUCAAUUGCUCCACUGUUAUAUACUUGGUAAAUUCCAUUAGAGUUUGAAACAUGUCUCCAUUUCAAGUUUGAAGCUUCAGUAAAUAGAGGUAAAGGAAUGGAUAUAACAGUUCCAGUAAGCUUAAAGAGUUCAAUCUUCUCUUUAAGUACAUUCUUUGGUAGAUCUUCUGGUUGAAUUGUAAGGACAUCUUCUCUGGAAAGCUGGGUACAAAUCUCAACAACAUCUAGAGCGGAGUUGAUUCCAUUCAAUCUUUUAAUGCAUUCUCCAUAAGCAACUACAGAGAAUAAUAUUGUAGCUAAAUCGAAUUUAUCUUGACCAGCUAAAUCAACAGGAUUUGAGCCUAAGAACCUUAGAAUACGUUCCAUACGUGGCUGAUUUUCAUCAACUAACAAUUCAAACUUGGAUUUUACUCCAAUUUCAACUCUAGGAUCACUAGUAGAGAGUCCAGAAAUUGUAUCGUGGGUCAUUGGAAGCUCAACCUUAUAAUAAUUAAUUUUUUUAUUAAGUUGACUUUCCAAUACCUUCUCAUCAUUAAGUUCAACACUUGGAUACUUGGAGAUAUCACUAACUGUAAGAAUAUUGGCAGACUCUAAAGAUGGGAAAAGGUUUUCAAUUGCUAUUUCUGCAUUUCUUGUAAUAACAAAUUCCAUCCUUGAAGACCUCUCUUCAGGCUUAGAAGUAUCAUCAGUUGAUUUAUCAACAAAUCCAAUAGAUCUUUGUUGAGAAGUUGAUGGUUCAACAGUAAUAUCUGGUUGAAUGGAAGAUGCUAAUGAUGAUCUAAGACCUUCACUAGCAUCUCCACCAACAAAAUCAGAAUGGGGAGCAAUUCCUCCUACGGAAGCACUCAAAUCACCUUGGGAUUGCGAUUUACUCAUAUCCAAAUUGGAACCAUCAAUACCAGAUCCCGAAGAAGAUGUUACUUCUGAGUCACUAGAAAUACCUGCGAGAUCUUCUCCAGAAGCUGAUGCUGACUCUUCAUUACUUGGAAACAUUGAUGAAGAUUUCUCACCAGCAGAACCUAAAAUGUCAGACCCAUAUAAAUCAGUCUCAGAGCCAAGAACUCCCCCAACAGCAAGGAUAAUACACCCAAUUGCUCCCAAAACAUAAGUCUUCUUAUUCAUAUUCACUUGUUCUUUUCCACCUAACAAUGCUUAAAAGAAAAUCUGAAUCAAUUCAAAUAAAAACUUGUACAAGCUUCAAAUAUAAUGGCUUUCUCUCACACUUUCUUUUUCUUCAAAGCCCUAAAACUGUGUACAAGUGUACAUCCCACUUUACCUUUUUAUCAAUUUAUUGCUUUAUCAACUAAUCAUCUCCAAGCGUCGACAUAACGCACCUGAAUCUUUUAAUUAUUAGACUUGCCGCCUUUCAGAGGAGAUUCCCCCCAAAGCAGAGGGUAAAAAUUAAUAGGGCGGAAAUAAAUCUGGAAAUUAAGAAAUUUCAAAUAAGGGAUGCAUAUACGUCCAUAUAUGAUAUGAAUAUACAUACAAUAUCCAAAUCACACAAAAUCUAUUAUACUAGGAAUCUGAAAUAUUUAUUUAUGCUCCAAUUUAAGGAUAAAUUCUGACAUAAUUCUUAUUUUGGGUAUCGGAUAAAUGCACACAUUUUGGCGCCCUGAUCUACAAAUUUUGAAUAUUAAAAAUGC